rnacentral:rRNA from 1 species
UACGUAGGGGGCAAGCGUUGUCCGGAAUUAUUGGGCGUAAAGAGCGUGUAGGCGGUCCGGUAAGUCAGCUGUGAAAGUCCAGGGCUCAACCCUUGAAAGCCGGUUGAUACUGUCGGGCUAGAGUCCGGAAGAGGCGAGUGGAAUUCCCGGUGUAGCGGUGAAAUGCGCAGAUAUCGGGAGGAACACCAAUGGCGAAGGCAGCUCGCUGGGCCGGUACUGACGCUGAGACGCGAAAGCGUGGGGAGCAAACAGG